rnacentral:rRNA from 1 species
GUAACAUUUAGGAAUCUGCCUAGUAGUGGGGGAUAGCUCGGGGAAACUCGAAUUAAUACCGCAUACGACCUACGGGUGAAAGGGGGCGCAAGCUCUUGCUAUUAGAUGAGCCUAAAUCAGAUUAGCUAGUUGGUGGGGUAAAGGCCUACCAAGGCGACGAUCUGUAACUGGUCUGAGAGGAUGAUCAGUCACACCGGAACUGAGACACGGUCCGGACUCCUACGGGAGGCAGCAGUGGGGAAUAUUGGACAAUGGGGGCAACCCUGAUCCAGCCAUGCCGCGUGUGUGAAGAAGGCCUUUUGGUUGUAAAGCACUUUAAGCAGGGAGGAGAGGCUAAUGGUUAAUACCCAUUAGAUUAGACGUUACCUGCAGAAUAAGCACCGGCUAACUCUGUGCCAGCAGCCGCGGUAAUACAGAGGGUGCGAGCGUUAAUCGGAAUUACUGGGCGUAAAGCGAGUGUAGGUGGCUCAUUAAGUCACAUGUGAAAUCCCCGGGCUUAACCUGGGAACUGCAUGUGAUACUGGUGGUGCUAGAAUAUGUGAGAGGGA